rnacentral:rRNA from 1 species
CUAGCGGAGGAAAUAGCACAGUGCAAGUCGAGGGGUAACAGGAAAAAGCUUGCUUUUUCGCUGACGACCGGCGCACGGGUGCGUAACGCGUAUAGAAUCUACCUUUUACUGAGGGAUAGCCUUUAGAAAUGAAGAUUAAUACCUCAUAGUAUCAAAUUUUCGCAUGAUUAUUUGAUUAAAGAUUUAUUGGUAAAAGAUGACUAUGCGUCCUAUUAGCUAGAUGGUAAGGUAACGGCUUACCAUGGCAACGAUAGGUAGGGGUCCUGAGAGGGAGAUCCCCCACACUGGUACUGAGACACGGACCAGACUCCUACGGGAGGCAGCAGUGAGGAAUAUUGGGCAAUGGAGGCAACUCUGACCCAGCCAUGCCGCGUGCAGGAAGACGGCCCUAUGGGUUGUAAACUGCUUUUAUACAGGAAGAAACUGCUCUACGUGUAGAGUACUGACGGUACUGUAAGAAUAAGCACCGGCUAACUCCGUGCCAGCAGCCGCGGUAAUACGGAGGGUGCAAGCGUUAUCCGGAAUCAUUGGGUUUAAAGGGUCCGCAGGCGGUCAAUUAAGUCAGAGGUGAAAUCCCAUAGCUUAACUAUGGAACUGCCUUUGAUACUGGUUGACUUGAGUUAUACGGAAGUAGAUAGAAUGUGUAGUGUAGCGGUGAAAUGCAUAGAGAUUACACAGAAAUACCGAUUGCGAAGGCAGUCUACUACGUAUAUACUGACGCUCAUGGGACGAAA